CUCCACCCAGCGAACGCCCUUCGUAACUGGCUAGCUAAGAGUUUCUUUCGGGGAGGCCGAAUUCCCGGUGGAGCCGCGAAUAAGGGAAGAUUCAUAAGGAGGAAAGCCCGCGGAGAUGGCCCCCCUGAUGACGAACGACGAUUGAUCAGGUGAGACAGUGUGAGGAGACAAGAGGAGAAGACACCGUGGUGGUCCACGCAAUAAACGAUGACGAUGUGGAGGUUGUCCCGAUGAGGCGCCGCCUCUGGAGAUAACUCGAAAAAUCGACCUCGUGGGGAGUACGGCCGCAAGGUUAAAACUCAAAAGAAUGGAGGGGGGCCCGCACCAGCGGUGGAGCAUGUGGUUUAAUUUGAUGCAACGCGAAGACCCUUACCUAUUCUUGACAUCCAGAGAACUUAGCAGAGAUGGUUUGGUGCCUUCGGGAACUGUGAGACAGGUGCUGCAUGGCUGUCGUCAGCUCGUGUUGUGAAAUGUUGGGUUAAGUCCCGCAACGAGCGCAACCCUUAUCCUUUGUUGCCAGCGGUUCGGCCGGGAACUCAAAGGAGACUGCCAGUGAUAAACUGGAGGAAGGUGGGGAUGACGUCAAGUCAUCAUGGCCCUUACGACCAGGGCUACACACGUGCUACAAUGGCAUAUACAAAGAGAAGCGACCUCGCGAGAGCAAGCGGACCUCAUAAAGUAUGUCGUAGUCCGGAUUGGAGUCUGCAACUCGACUCCAUGAAGUCGGAAUCGCUAGUAAUCGUAGAUCAGAAUGCUACGGUGAAUACGUUCCCGGGCCUUGUACACACCGCCCGUCACACCAU
rnacentral:rRNA from 1 species